rnacentral:rRNA from 1 species
UGGGGAAUAUUGGACAAUGGGCGAAAGCCUGAUCCAGCCAUGCCGCGUGUGUGAAGAAGGUCUUCGGAUUGUAAAGCACUUUAAGUUGGGAGGAAGGGCAGUAAGCGAAUACCUUGCUGUUUUGACGUUACCGACAGAAUAAGCACCGGCUAACUCUGUGCCAGCAGCCGCGGUAAUACAGAGGGUGCAAGCGUUAAUCGGAAUUACUGGGCGUAAAGCGCGCGUAGGUGGUUCGUUAAGUUGGAUGUGAAAGCCCCGGGCUCAACCUGGGAACUGCAUCCAAAACUGGCGAGCUAGAGUAGGGCAGAGGGUGGUGGAAUUUCCUGUGUAGCGGUGAAAUGCGUAGAUAUAGGAAGGAACACCAGUGGCGAAGGCGACCACCUGGGUUCAUACUGACACUGAGGUGCGAAAGCGUGGGGAGCAAACAGG